GUGGGGAAUAUUGGGCAAUGGGCGCAAGCCUGACCCAGCAACGCCGCGUGAAGGAAGAAGGCUUUCGGGUUGUAAACUUCUUUUACCAGGGACGAAACAAAUGACGGUACCUGGUGAAUAAGCCACGGCUAACUACGUGCCAGCAGCCGCGGUAAUACGUAGGUGGCGAGCGUUAUCCGGAUUUAUUGGGUGUAAAGGGCGUGUAGGCGGGACAGCAAGUCAGAUGUGAAAACCAGAGGCUCAACCUCUGGCCUGCAUUUGAAACUGUUGUUCUUGAGUGUCGGAGAGGUAAUCGGAAUUCCGAGUGUAGCGGUGAAAUGCGUAGAUAUACGGAGGAACACCAGUGGCGAAGGCGGAUUACUGGACGAUAACUGACGCUGAGGCGCGAAAGCGUGGGGAGCAAACAGGAUUAGAUACCCCUGUAGUCC
rnacentral:rRNA from 1 species